AUUGAACGCUGGCGGCAUGCUUUACACAUGCAAGUCGAACGGCAACAGGCCGCAAGGUGCUGACGAGUGGCGAACGGGUGAGUAAUGCAUCGGGACGUGCCCAGUCGUGGGGGAUAACGCAGCGAAAGCUGUGCUAAUACCGCAUACGAUCUGUGGAUGAAAGCGGGGGACCUUCGGGCCUCGCGCGAUUGGUGCGGGCGAUGUCAGAUUAGGUAGUUGGUGGGGUAAAGGCUCACCAAGCCAACGAUCUGUAGCUGGUCUGAGAGGACGACCAGCCACACUGGGACUGAGACACGGCCCAGACUCCUACGGGAGGCAGCAGUGGGGAAUUUUGGACAAUGGGCGCAAGCCUGAUCCAGCAAUGCCGCGUGCAGGAAGAAGGCCUUCGGGUUGUAAACUGCUUUUGUACGGAGCGAAAAGGCUCUCUCUAAUACAGGGGGCUCAUGACGGUACCGUAAGAAUAAGCACCGGCUAACUACGUGCCAGCAGCCGCAGUAAAAC
rnacentral:rRNA from 1 species